UGGACAGGGAGACAGGUGGUGCAUGGUUGUCGUCAGCUCGUGUCGUGAGAUGUUGGGUUAAGUCCCGCAACGAGCGCAACCCCUACGUUUAGUUGCUAACGCGUGAAGGCGAGCACUCUAGACGAACUGCCGUUGACAAAACGGAGGAAGGUGGGGAUGACGUCAAUCAUCAUGCCCCUUAUGUUCUGGGCUACACACGUGCUACAAUGGCCGGUACAGACGGACGCAAAGCCGCGAGGUGGAGCAAAUCCUAAAAAGCCGGUCUCAGUUCGGAUUGCAGGCUGCAAUUCGCCUGCAUGAAGUCGGAAUCGCUAGUAAUCGCAGGUCAGCAUACUGCGGUGAAUACGUUCCCGGGCCUU
rnacentral:rRNA from 1 species